GUCGUGAGGCAUGCUGGAGGUAUCAGAAGUGCGAAUGCUGACAUAAGUAACGAUAAAGCGGGUGAAAAGCCCGCUCGCCGGAAGACCAAGGGUUCCUGUCCAACGUUAAUCGGGGCAGGGUGAGUCGACCCCUAAGGCGAGGCCGAAAGGCGUAGUCGAUGGGAAACGGGUUAAUAUUCCCGUACUUGGUGUUACUGCGAAGGGGGGACGGAGAAGGCUAUGUUGGCCGGGCGACGGUUGUCCCGGUUUAAGCGUGUAGGUGUGUGUUCCAGGUAAAUCCGGUUCACUUUAACACUGAGGCGUGACGACGAGGCACUACGGUGCUGAAGCAACAAAUGCCCUGCUUCCAGGAAAAGCCUCUAAGCAUCAGGUAACAUCAAAUCGUACCCCAAACCGACACAGGUGGUCAGGUAGAGAAUACCAAGGCGCUUGAGAGAACUCGGGUGAAGGAACUAGGCAAAAUGGUGCCGUAACUUCGGGAGAAGGCACGCUGACACGUAGGUGAAGUGAUUUACUCAUGGAGCUGAAGUCAGUCGAAGAUACCAGCUGGCUGCAACUGUUUAUUAAAAACACAGCACUGUGCAAACACGAAAGUGGACGUAUACGGUGUGACGCCUGCCCGGUGCCGGAAGGUUAAUUGAUGGGGUCAGCGCAAGCGAAGCUCCUGAUCGAAGCCCCGGUAAACGGCGGCCGUAACUAUAACGGUCCUAAGGUAGCGAAAUUCCUUGUCGGGUAAGUUCCGACCUGCACGAAUGGCGUAAUGAUGGCCAGGCUGUCUCCACCCGAGACUCAGUGAAAUUGAACUCGCUGUGAAGAUGCAGUGUACCCGCGGCAAGACGGAAAGACCCCGUGAACCUUUACUAUAGCUUGACACUGAACAUUGAGCCUUGAUGUGUAGGAUAGGUGGGAGGCUUUGAAGCGUGGACGCCAGUCUGCGUGGAGCCGACCUUGAAAUACCACCCUUUAAUGUUUGAUGUUCUAACGUGGACCCGU
rnacentral:rRNA from 1 species